GAAGGAGUGUGGAUGGUGUGUGGCUGGCUGAGGGAGCUGCAGGACCUUGGAUGAGGUAAUCCUGCCAGAAGUUGGGGAGAGUGAGAAGGAGCCCUGAGCUUGUUGCGGGGACUCCAUCAGGACAAGACCCUGAGGAGGGCUGAGUCAACGAAGACCCAUUGCAAAUAGGUAGAGAAAGAAUGCAGGCACAUGCACUGGCCAGGUGACACUUGUGAGAGAUUGGGGAAGCAGAAUCACAGAGCUUGGGUGAACUGUUCAAGUUUGUGGCAGAGGUGGGAAGAGGACAUGGGACUCCCAACCUACGGUCCAUGUACACAUACAUGUAAAUCCUCAGAAACAUUAGUUUGACUGGCAGCCGGGAUAAUUCCCUGUAAGAGUUAAGUUUAAGA